AUGCACGCUGGCGGCGUGCCUCAUCCAUGCCAGUCGAGCGAACAGACGAGGAGCUUGCUCCUCUGACGUUAGCGGCGGACGGGUGAGUAACACGUGGAUAACCUACCUAUAAGACUGGGAUAACUUCGGGAAACCGGAGCUAAUACCGGAUAAUAUAUUGAACCGCCUGGUUCAAUAGUGAAAGACGGUUUUGCUGUCACUUAUAGAUGGAUCCGCGCCGCAUUAGCUAGUUGGUAAGGUAACGGCUUACCAAGGCAACGAUGCGUAGCCGACCUGAGAGGGUGAUCGGCCACACUGGAACUGAGACACGGUCCAGACUCCUACGGGAGGCAGCAGUAGGGAAUCUUCCGCAAUGGGCGAAAGCCUGACGGAGCAACGCCGCGUGAGUGAUGAAGGUCUUCGGAUCGUAAAACUCUGUUAUUAGGGAAGAACAAAUGUGUAAGUAACUAUGCACGUCUUGACGGUACCUAAUCAGAAAGCCACGGCUAACUACGUG
rnacentral:rRNA from 1 species